CCUACGGGCGGCUGCAGUGGGGAAUAUUGGACAAUGGGCGCAAGCCUGAUCCAGCCAUGCCGCGUGGAUGAUGAAGGCCUUAGGGUUGUAAAGUCCUUUUAACGGGGAAGAUAAUGACGGUACCCGUAGAAUAAGCCCCGGCUAACUUCGUGCCAGCAGCCGCGGUAAUACGAAGGGGGCUAGCGUUGCUCGGAAUCACUGGGCGUAAAGCGCACGUAGGCGGCUUUCUAAGUCAGGGGUGAAAUCCUGGAGCUCAACUCCAGAACUGCCUUUGAUACUGGAGAGCUUGAGUUCGGGAGAGGUGAGUGGAACUGCGAGUGUAGAGGUGAAAUUCGUAGAUAUUCGCAAGAACACCAGUGGCGAAGGCGGCUCACUGGCCCGAUACUGACGCUGAGGUGCGAAAGCGUGGGGAGCAAACAGGAUUAGAUACCCUUGUAGUC
rnacentral:rRNA from 1 species